GCGUUCGUAGCUCAGUUGGAUAGAGCGUUGGCCUCCGGAGCCAAAGGUCGCAAGUUCGAAUCUUGUCGAGCGCGCCAGUG
rnacentral:tRNA from 1 species